AUGACGGGCCGCACAAGCGGAGGAACAUGUGGUUUAAUUCGAUGAUACGCGAGGAACCUUACCUGGCUUAAAUGUAGAGUGCAUUUUUAGUAGAUAGAAAUUCCCUUCGGGGCUUUCUGCAAGGUGCUGCAUGGUUGUCGUCAGCUCGUGCCGUGAGGUGUCGGGUUAAGUCCCAUAACGAGCGCAACCCUUAUCGUUAGUUGCCAUCUGGUAAUGCAGGGGACUCUAGCGAAACUGCCACCGCAAGGUGAGAGGAAGGUGGGGAUGACGUCAAAUCAGCACGGCCCUUAUGUCCAGGGCUACACACGUGUUACAAUGGUCGGUACAGAGGGCAGCUACCUGGUGACAGGAUGCUAAUCUCGAAAACCGGUCUCAGUUCGGAUCGAAGUCUGCAACUCGACUUCGUGAAGCUGGAUUCGCUAGUAAUCGCGCAUCAGCUAUGGCGCGGUGAAUACGUUCCCGGGCCUU
rnacentral:rRNA from 1 species